rnacentral:rRNA from 1 species
GAGUUUGAUCCUGGCUCAGAUUGAACGCUGGCGGCAUGCCUUACACAUGCAAGUCGAACGGCAGCACGGGAGCUUGCUCCUGGUGGCGAGUGGCGAACGGGUGAGUAAUGCAUCGGAACGUAUCCUGGAGUGGGGGAUAACGUAGCGAAAGUUACGCUAAUACCGCAUAUUCUGUGAGCAGGAAAGCGGGGGACCUUCGGGCCUCGCGCUCUUGGAGCGGCCGAUGUCGGAUUAGCUAGUUGGUGAGGUAAAGGCUCACCAAGGCGACGAUCCGUAGCAGGUCUGAGAGGAUGAUCUGCCACACUGGAACUGAGACACGGUCCAGACUCCUACGGGAGGCAGCAGUGGGAAUUUUGGACAAUGGGGCAACCCGUGAUCCAG